rnacentral:rRNA from 1 species
CCUACGGGGGGCAGCAGUGGGGAAUAUUGGACAAUGGGCGAAAGCCUGAUCCAGCCAUGCCGCGUGUGUGAAGAAGGCCUUCGGGUUGUAAAGCACUUUCAGUGGGGAAGAAAGCCUUGGGGCUAAUACCCUCGAGGAAGGACAUCACCCACAGAAGAAGCACCGGCUAACUCCGUGCCAGCAGCCGCGGUAAUACGGAGGGUGUGAGCGUUAAUCGGAAUUACUGGGCGUAAAGCGCGCGUAGGCGGUCUGAUAAGCCGGUUGUGAAAGCCCCGGGCUCAACCUGGGAACGGCAUCCGGAACUGUCAGGCUAGAGUGCAGGAGAGGAAGGUAGAAUUCCCGGUGUAGCGGUGAAAUGCGUAGAGAUCGGGAGGAAUACCAGUGGCGAAGGCGGCCUUCUGGACUGACACUGACGCUGAGGUGCGAAAGCGUGGGUAGCAAACAGGAUUAGAUACCCGAGUAGUC